UGUUGAGAGCCACAGCCGAAGGGGCCCCAGCAAACUUCCAGCUGCCAGCAAACUUCCAGCUGCCGGCUGAUGAUUGGCUCACAGCGGCCCCAGCAACAUCUAGCUGAUUGGCUCCUCAGCCCCAGCAACAUCUAGCUGAUUGGCUCCUCUGCGGUGAUGCUCAUUGGGCUGUUUCCCUGCCCUUUCAGACCACGGAGCUGCUCAUUGGGGGACUUUUUUGGCUCCGCCCACGUGACCCAGCCAAUCAGCCUCAAGAGCAGGAGGAUUGUGGGAGGUGGAGAGAAGCUGGUGGGAGAGAGAGAGGCUUGUGGAAAGCCCGUGGUGGCAGUUGAGGCUCUGAGGGUUUUUCCUGAGAGGCUGUUUUGUUUGGUGUGUGUGGUUCUAAAAAUAAAGUUAGUUUCUUUUGACAAGUGGCUCCUGAUUGUGCCCAGCCAGACUGCGGCACCUGUCUAUCAUUUCCCUGAGGCUAAGACUUGGGCCUCACUCUUCCUCUUAUCUCCUUCCACACCCAAUGUCUAUCUCACCUGACCUCUUUCCUCCUCCCCGGUAGCCACUUGAUUUUGUCUCUGACUCCCCAAAAAAGGGCCCACUGCACAAUCCAACCCCUCUCCAACCCAUUUUCCACACUGCAACCAGAAUCAUCUUCCAGAAAUUUUAGAUCUCAUCCCACAAUGCCUCUGAUCAGUCCUUCCAUAGCUUUUGUCGUCUUCAGAAUGGUGUCCAAAUGCCUCCCAUGAUCUCUAACCCCCCAAAACCUAUGCUGUG
rnacentral:lncRNA from 1 species